AAGGCUUUAAGUUAAACCAAACUAAUAUCCUUCAAAGCUAUAAAUAAAGAUAUAAUCUCUUUAAGCCUUA
rnacentral:tRNA from 1 species